CUCUGAGGCCAUACCUCCUUGUCAAUGCCUGAUCUCAUCAAAUCUCAGAAGCUAAGCAGGGUUGGGUGUGGUUAGUACUUGGAUGGGGGACUGCUGGGAAUACCAGGUGCCACAGAGU
ensembl:rRNA 5S_rRNA 5S ribosomal RNA